rnacentral:rRNA from 1 species
UACAGAGGGGGCAAGCGUUGUUCGGAAUUACUGGGCGUAAAGGGCGCGUAGGCGGCCUUCUAAGUCGAACGUGAAAUCCCCGGGCUCAACCGGGAACUGCGUCCGAUACUGGUUGGCUUGAAUCCGGGAGAGGGACGUGGAAUUCCAGGUGUAGCGGUGAAAUGCGUAGAUAUCUGGAGGAACACCGGUGGCGAAGGCGACGUCCUGGACCGGCAUUGACGCUGAGGCGCGAAAGCCAGGGGGAGCAAAACGGGG